UACGUAGGGGCGAGCGUUGUCCGGAAUGAUUGGGCGUAAAGGGUGCGCAGGCGGGAGAUUAAGUCGGCGGUGAAAUUUUGCAGCUCAACUGUAAAAGUGCCUUCGAAACUGGUUUCCUUGAGUGUAGAUGAAGUAGGCGGAAUUUGUGGUGUAGCGGUGAAAUGCAUAGAUAUCACGAGGAACUCCGAUUGCGCAGGCAGCUUACUAAACUACUACUGACGCUCAGGCACGAAGGCGUGGGGAUCAAACAGGAUUAGAUACCCCGGUAGU
rnacentral:rRNA from 1 species